UACGGGGGGCGCAAGCGUUGUUCGGAAUCAUUGGGCUUAAAGCGCGCGUAGGCGGCCUUGUAAGUGUCUUGUGAAAUCCCACGGCUCACCCGUGGAACUGCAGUGCAAACUGCAAGACUUGAGGUCGGUAGAGGCGCAUGGAACUCUAGGUGUAGCGGUGAAAUGCGUAGAUAUCUAGGGGAACACCGGAGGCGAAAGCGGGGCGCUGGGCCGAUUCUGACGCUGAUGCGCGAAAGCGUGGGGAGCAAACAGG
rnacentral:rRNA from 1 species